CUCUUCUUCUUCAAUCCUCGUUUCUCUCUCUCUCUCUCUCUCUCUCUCUCUCCUCAUAGCACCAUCGUCAUCUCGUCGCAGACCUUGGAGUUCCAAAAUGACGAUUUUUUUUCUUCUAGGCGCCAGCGACCGCCUAGCCCGCCUAGCCCCCGCCUAGCCCGCCUAGCGCCGUCGUCAUCUCGUCGCAGACCUUGGAGUUCCAAAAUGACCAUUUUUUUUCUUCUAGGCGCCAGCGCCCGCCUAGACCGCCUAGCCCCCGCCUAGCCCGCCUAGCGCCCGCCUAGGCCAUUUAUUCAACUCCGUUCAAUGCUCUUUAUGAAAUAGCGCCUUUCAGGUGACCUUAAUUGGGGAUGUUCCUCUGUCUAUUGUAAUAACGGUAUGCACAACUCUUGGGGCAGUAGCUGGAGGACUUGGUAUUAAUCUUGCGACUGCAGAUAUUGUCAUUCUUUAUGAUAGUGAUUGGUAUUAAUUGUGCCCUGAGAUGAUACGUUUCCAGCUAUGCAUUGCUGGCAUUAUGUAGUUCUUCAUCAAACCAUGAUUUUCAUUUUCAAACAGUAUAUAUACUAUUGAGGAGAAAGUGAUUGAGAGGGCUUAUAAAAAAGCUUGCUCUUGAUGCCUGGGUGAUUCAACAAGGCCGAUUAGCAGAGCAAAAAAGUGAGCAACACGAUUUCUUUAAAGAUAUCUGUUUUUAAAAUGAGCAUAGGAAACCCAAAUUAGCCUCGAGUCAUUCAACUGCAUCUCGCCUAACACAGACUUGCUGCUUUUGUUAUCUUUCAGUUUGGAUAGUCAGAUGGUUAUGAAUGUUUUGGGGAUCUGACAUGUGUAUUACUGAUGCAGCUAUGGUUCGAAGACAUCUCCAAUUGAGUUAUAAUUAUUUUAUUUUCACAGUUACUUUCUAUUUCUUGUUGUUUCCAUUUUUUCUUACGCAUUAAGCCUCGACUCUUAUGCCCUACUUUACUUGCACCUCUAACUUUCUGAUUAAGUCAGUUCCUACUAUUAUCCAUCUACUAAUCUUAUAUUGGCUUUACAUAUAUUCUAUCCAAUAGUUCCUGCCGAGCUUCAUUUGCAAGUACUAGUGGUUUCUGAAUCUAAGCGAGUUUUAUCAAACUUUCUUUCUUCCUAUUCCACAGGCAGCUGGAUUUGCUGCCAUUGAAAGAGUAGCUAUGGAUGCAAGACCCUGCAUGGCCAAUCAAGUUCAUCACCUUCGACUAGCUGUUGAUGGAGCAAGAAGCUGGUUUGUUGAGAGGAAAUGAUCAACUACUAACACUAGGGCUGGGAGCGUUAGCCUCUGCACUCGCUGCUGCUUAGCAUCUAUGGAAAUUGCUUGGUCUUUUUUGUAUGGCUCUAUUGACAUUAGGUGCUUCAGUUCAUCUCAAUCAAAUGUUAUGUUUUUGUAUUUGAAAAUUUCUAUUGAUUAAUCCAAGCACAUGGAGUUUAAUGCCUUCAUUAA